CAAAAUCUUGUAGUGAUACAAGACUGGAUAGUGAGAAGUCAGCAGAAGCCGUAGUAGUGAAGACAUCUAACGAAAGUUAGAGAGAGCGAAGGGC
rnacentral:ncRNA from 1 species